rnacentral:lncRNA from 1 species
CCCAGAACUUUUCUCCAAAAAUCUUCUUCUUGCAUGCCCCACUCUUCUCCUCCUUUUAUAACAACGUUAAACGUCUUAUCCAAAAGAAAGGAUAAAGAUGAGUAAUUGCACAUUUGAAUUCAAAUCAAAUUUUGAAUUCAAAUGGACACCAACUCAUCCCUUAUCCACUAAAGGCAUGAGGCAUGGCUUAAAUUGUGCAUAGAGUGAUUUCAUAAGAAACCUUUUCUCAUGUAAUAAAUGAGGCAUAAAAAAAGGGAUAAGGUGCAAAGAUUGAUUGCCCAUUCAAAUUCAAACUUUAUUUUGAAUUUGAAUGGCCAACCAAUCAUCCUUAUCUAUUCAUAUGGCACAUUAAAGUGGGGCAUGGAGAGGGCUUGGCGUGAGAA